UACGAAGGGGGCUAGCGUUGCUCGGAAUCACUGGGCGUAAAGCGCACGUAGGCGGAUUCCUAAGUCGGUGGUGAAAUCCUGGAGCUCAACUCCAGAACUGCCUCCGAUACUGAGAGUCUUCGAGUCCGGGAGAGGUGAGUGGAACUGCGAGUGUAGAGGUGAAAUUCGUAGAUAUUCGCAAGAACACCAGUGGCGAAGGCGGCUUACUGGCCCGGUACUGACGCUGAGGUGCGAAAGCGUGGGGAGCAAACAGG
rnacentral:rRNA from 1 species